AUUGAACGCUGGCGGCAUGCUUUACACAUGCAAGUCGAACGGCAGCACGGGCUUCGGCCUGGUGGCGAGUGGCGAACGGGUGAGUAAUAUAUCGGAACGUACCCAGAAGUGGGGGAUAACGUAGCGAAAGUUACGCUAACACCGCAUACGAUCUAUGGAUGAAAGCAGGGGACCGCAAGGCCUUGUGCUCCUGGAGCGGCCGAUAUCUGAUUAGCUAGUUGGUGAGGUAAAGGCUCACCAAGGCGACGAUCAGUAGCUGGUCUGAGAGGACGACCAGCCACACUGGAACUGAGACACGGUCCAGACUCCUACGGGAGGCAGCAGUGGGGAAUUUUGGACAAUGGGCGCAAGCCUGAUCCAGCAAUGCCGCGUGAGUGAAGAAGGCCUUCGGGUUGUAAAGCUCUUUUGUCAGGGAAGAAACGGUAGAGGCUAAUAUCCUUUGCUAAUGACGGUACCUGAAGAAUAAGCACCGGCUAACUACGUG
rnacentral:rRNA from 1 species